UAGUGGAAGGUGUGUCGCCAGCGGGCAGGUAAAGGUAUAUUAUAAGUAUGGGUGAGCGGGUGGGCAGAGGCUCAGUGUGCGUCGGGCAGGUGGAGGAGAGAGUUGUUGCGUCCGGACUUGGGAAUUUUUUUUUUCUCUCUCUCUCGCUCCUCUUGCCUCGACCCUCCCCCGUACUGACUUUCUGAUUCGUAUUUAUUUAUAAUUUUAGAAAAAAAAAUCAUUUGAAAAGCGAGAAGUAUAUAAGUCGGAAUUAAAUAUUUGUAUCACUCAACCCACCGAUAAGAAUUGAAAGAGAAGAC